UACGUAGGGUGCGAGCGUUGUCCGGAAUUAUUGGGCGUAAAAGAGCUCGUAGGCGGUCUGUCGCGUCUGCUGUGAAAACCCGAGGCUCAACCUCGGGCCUGCAGUGGGUACGGGCAGACUAGAGUGCGGUAGGGGAGAUUGGAAUUCCUGGUGUAGCGGUGGAAUGCGCAGAUAUCAGGAGGAACACCGAUGCGAAGGCAGAUCUCUGGGCCGUAACUGACGCUGAGGAGCGAAACAU
rnacentral:rRNA from 1 species